CGCAGCCUCGGGGGGCAGCAGUAGGGAAUCUUCCACAAUGGGCGAAAGCCUGAUGGAGCAACGCCGCGUGGGUGAAGAAGGUCUUCGGAUCGUAAAACCCUGUUGUUAGAGAAGAAAGUGCGUGAGAGUAACUGUUCACGUUUCGACGGUAUCUAACCAGAAAGCCACGGCUAACUACGUGCCAGCAGCCGCGGUAAUACGUAGGUGGCAAGCGUUAGCCGGAGUUAUUGGGCGUAAAGGGAACGCAGGCGGUCUUUUAAGACUGAUG
rnacentral:rRNA from 1 species